rnacentral:rRNA from 1 species
UAUCUCUGUAGAGUCUGCAUAUCAAUAAGCGGAGGAAAAGAAACUAACAAGGAUUCCCUUAGUAACGGCGAGUGAAGCGGGAAGAGCUCAAAUUUGAAAUCUUCAAGGGUUUACCUUUACGAAUUGUAGUUUAAAGAAGUGUUUUCUGUUAGAUGAGUAGCAAAAGUUCCUUGGAAUAGGACAUCAUAGAGGGUGAGAAUCCCGUAUUUGACCAGUUAUUUUCAGCUGUGUGAUACACUUUCAAAGAGUCGGAUUGUUUGGGAAUGCAGUCCAAAAUGGGUGGUAAAUUUCAUCUAAAGCUAAAUACUGGCGAGAGACCGAUAGCGAACAAGUACCGUGAGGGAAAGAUGAAAAGAACUUUGAAAAGAGAGUUAAACAGUACGUGAAAUUGUCAAAAGGGAAGCGUUUGACACCAGUGUUGUUUUCUCGAAAAUCAAUUAAAAAAGGCAGGAUUUUGUGUUGUAUUGACUUUAUCAGCCUUCUGCACUCUUUUCUUGUCUUUUUUAAUGCACUUUUCGUUUAACAAGUCAACAUCAAUUUCUUUUGUUGUAAAAGGGUCAUUGGAAGGUGGCUUUCUUUUCGGAGAAAGUGUUUAUAGCCUUUGGCCUCUGCAAUCGGAGAGAUUGAGGUCUGCAGCGUAGAUCCUUCGGGGUUAGAUACACUUUGUGCUAAGUUAUAGCCUUUCAUAGACAACUUGUUGACUAUGAUCAGUCAUGUAGCUUACUCGCUUAUGCUAUUUUACCUACGCUUAGGAUGUUGAAGAUGUAGCACAUCAU